GACGAACGCUGGCGGCGUGCUUAACACAUGCAAGUCGAACGGUAAGGCCCUUCGGGGUACACGAGUGGCGAACGGGUGAGUAACACGUGGGUGGUCUGCCCUGCACUUCGGGAUAAGCCUGGGAAACUGGGUCUAAUACCGGAUAGGACCACUGCCUGCAUGGGUGGUGGUGGAAAGCUUUUGCGGUGUGGGAUGGGCCCGCGGCCUAUCAGCUUGUUGGUGGGGUGAUGGCCUACCAAGGCGACGACGGGUAGCCGGCCUGAGAGGGUGACCGGCCACACUGGGACGGAGAUACGGCCCAGACUCCUACGGGAGGCAGCAGUGGGGAAUAUUGCACAAUGGGCGCAAGCCUGAUGCAGCGACGCCGCGUGAGGGAUGACGGCCUUCGGGUUGUAAACCUCUUUCAGCACCGACGAAGCGCAAGUGACGGUAGGUGCAGAAGAAGGACCGGCCAACUACGUGCCAGCCGCCGCGGUAA
rnacentral:rRNA from 1 species